GCACACCAAAUCUUCCAGCACCUGCAAAGAGAAAAAGACAUGCUAAUGUCCUGCUUAUAAAGCCUCUUUAAAAGAAAACUGAGAGAUGCAUUUUAUCACCAGAACAUUCCAACUUCUACAAUGAGGAAUUUCUCAGAAGUUUAACAUUUAUAGUGAACUACAUCAAAAUGAAGGAGAAAAAUGACAAGAUUUCUUGAAGCAAAUGCCUGAACCCAGGAGUCAUCUAAAACACAGCCUGGAAAAUCAACUAGAAACUAUCAAAGAAGAGAAGAAAUUUUAAGCAUCACCACAAAAAUAAACUUGAUCAUGUGAUUAAAUCAAUCUACGUAUAUACAGCAGACAUAUCUUUCAAGUUGGACAUGCUUUCAGUUAUGGAGUUAUAGAGUCAUAGAGACACAGAGUCAUGGAGAUGUACAGCAUGGAAACAGACCCUUUGGUC